CCCCAUUAUCCCAAGAAUCACACAUUUUCUCUUGCAAAAUCCCCCUUUUAACCCCAAAAUCUUGCAUUUUUCUCUUGGAAAAUCCCCCAUUUAACUCGGAAAUCACACUUUUGCUCUUCAAAAAUCCCCCGUUUGACCCCAACAUCAACAUUUUUGCUACAAGAAUCCCCCACGUAUCCAAAAAUCACGCAUUUCCUCUACAAAAAUCUCACAUGUAAACGAAAAUCAUGCAGUUUCUCUUCAAAAACCCGCCCAUUUAACCAGAAGAAAAAUGCAAUUUCUCUUCGAAUCCCCCAUUUAACCCGAAAAUGAUGCAUUUUCCUCUCAAGAAUCCCUGGUUUAUCUCGAAUAUCACACAUUUUCUCUUCAAAAAUCCCCCAUUUAACCCGAAAAUGAUGCAUUUUCUCUUCAAGAAUCCCUGGUUUAUCUCGAAUAUCACACAUUUUCUCUUCAAAAAUCUCCCACGUAACCUGAAAAACACACAUUAUCUCUACGAAAAUCACACAUUUAAUGCAAACAUCAGGCAUUUUCUCUUAGAGAUUCCGUGACUUAACUGAAAUCACAACAUUUUCUCUUCAAAAAUCCCCUAUUUAACCCCGAAAAUCACGCCUUUUUCUUUGCAAAUAUCCCCCACUAACAAAAAAU
rnacentral:lncRNA from 7 species